rnacentral:snoRNA from 2 species
UCCCGAUGAUGACACCCGCCGCGGCUGUCUGAGGCAGCUGAGGAAAUUGGUUGAGAUUCUGACGU